rnacentral:rRNA from 1 species
AGUGAACGCUGGCGGUAGGCUUAACACAUGCAAGUCGAACGGCAGCACAGUAAGAGCUUGCUCUUAUGGGUGGCGAGUGGCGGACGGGUGAGGAAUACAUCGGAAUCUACUUUUUCGUGGGGGUUAACGUAGCGAAACUUACGCUAAUACCGCAUACGACCUACGGGUGAAAGCAGUGGAUCUUCUGACCUUGCGCGAUUGAAUGAGCCGAUGUCGGAUUAGCUAGUUGGCGGGGUAAAUGCCCACCAAGGCGACGAUCGGUAGCUGGUCUGAGAGGAGGGACCGCGACACUGGAACUGAGACACGGUCCAGACACCUACGGGAGGCAGCAGUGGGGAAUAUUGGACGAAGGGGGCAAGCCUGAUCCAGGCAUGCCGCGUGGGUGAAGAAGGGCUUCGGGUUGUAAAGCCCUUUUGUUGGGGAAGAAAAGCAGCAGGUUAAUACCCGGCUGUUCUGACGGAACCGAAAGAAUAAGCACCGGUUAACUUCGU